rnacentral:lncRNA from 1 species
GAAAAGGAAGAAAAAGGGAAAAUUAAAAAAAUGAAACGUGAAAGAAAGAAAGGAAACAGGAGUUCGGGAUUUCGUUCACAGUUUCGUGUUCGUGGUUCUAAAAGGUUAGUAUUGCAACUUUGAAAAUCUGUAAAUAUUCUUUUGUGGUGAAACAUUACAAAAGGUAACACUCAAUCUUUUGGUACAGUUUAAAUAUGAUAUAUGAGAUCUAUGUCUUCGCAGAGUUUGAAUUUUAAUUUGUUUUUCUAAAUUUUGUUAGAAG